CAGUCGCCGCGGUAAAACGGAGGGUGCAAGCGUUAAUCGGAAUUACUGGGCGUAAAGCGCACGCAGGCGGUCUGACAAGUCAGAUGUGAAAUCCCCGGGCUUAACCUGGGAACUGCAUUUGAAACUGUCAGGCUGGAGUCUUGUAGAGGGGGGUAGAAUUCCAGGUGUAGCGGUGAAAUGCGUAGAGAUCUGGAGGAAUACCGGUGGCGAAGGCGGCCCCCUGGACAAAGACUGACGCUCAGGUGCGAAAGCGUGGGGAGCAAACAGGAUUAGAUACCCCUGUAGUCCCUGUCUCUUAUAC
rnacentral:rRNA from 1 species